UAGAGUUUGAUCCUGGCUCAGGAUGAACGCUGGCGGCGUGCCUAAUACAUGCAAGUCGAGCGAAUGGAUUAAGAGCUUGCUCUUAUGAAGUUAGCGGCGGACGGGUGAGUAACACGUGGGUAACCUGCCCAUAAGACUGGGAUAACUCCGGGAAACCGGGGCUAAUACCGGAUAAUAUUUUGAACUGCAUGGUUCGAAAUUGAAAGGUGGCUUCGGCUGUCACUUAUGGAUGGACCCGCGUCGCAUUAGCUAGUUGGUGAGGUAACGGCUCACCAAGGCAACGAUGCGUAGCCGACCUGAGAGGGUGAUCGGCCACACUGGGACUGAGACACGGCCCAGACUCCUACGGGAGGCAGCAGUAGGGAAUCUUCCGCAAUGGACGAAAGUCUGACGGAGCAACGCCGCGUGAGUGAUGAAGGCUUUCGGGUCGUAAAACUCUGUUGUUAGGGAAGAACAAGUGCUAGUUGAAUAAGCUGGCACCUUGACGGUACCUAACCAGAAAGCCACGGCUAACUACGUGCCAGCAGCCGCGGUAAUA
rnacentral:rRNA from 1 species